UACGUAGGGUGCGAGCGUUGUCCGGAAUUAUUGGGCGUAAAGAGCUCGUAGGCGGUGUGUCGCGUCGGCCGUGAAAACCUGGGGCUUAACUCUGGGCGUGCGGUCGAUACGGGCAUCACUAGAGUUCGGCAGGGGAGACUGGAAUUCCUGGUGUAGCGGUGAAAUGCGCAGAUAUCAGGAGGAACACCGGUGGCGAAGGCAGGUCUCUGGGCAUUAACUGACGCUGAGGAGCGAAAGCAUGGGGAGCGAACAGG
rnacentral:rRNA from 1 species